rnacentral:rRNA from 1 species
UACGAAGGGGGCUAGCGUUGCUCGGAAUCACUGGGCGUAAAGGGUGCGUAGGCGGGUCUUUAAGUCAGAGGUGAAAUCCUGGAGCUCAACUCCAGAACUGCCUUUGAUACUGAGGAUCUUGAGUACGGGAGAGGUGAGUGGAACUGCGAGUGUAGAGGUGAAAAUUCGUAGAUAUUCGCAAGAACACCAGUGGCGAAGGCGGCUCACUGGCCCGAUACUGACGCUGAGGCACGAAAGCGUGGGGAAGCAAACAGGG